CGGCAACAGCUCAAAUUUGAAAUCUGGCCCUUGGGUCCGAAUUGUAAUUUGUAGAGGAUGAUUUUGGUGCGGUAUCUUCCGAGUUCCUUGGAACAGGACGCCUUAGAGGGUGAGAGCCCCGUACGGUUGAAUGCCUAGCCUCUGUAAAUCUCCUUCGAC
rnacentral:rRNA from 1 species